AUGGUCAAGCGGUUAAGACGCCGCCCUCUCACGGCGGAAACCGGGGUUCGAUUCCCCGUGGUGCUACCA
rnacentral:tRNA from 1 species